rnacentral:rRNA from 1 species
UUGUAUGACUCUCGGCAAUGGAUAUCUUGGCUCUUGCAUCGAUGAAGAGCGCAGCGAAAUGCGAUACGUGGUGUGAAUUGCAGAAUCCCGUGAACCAUCGAGUUUUUGAACGCUAGUUGCGCCCGAGGCCAAUUGGCUAAUGGCACGUCCGCCU